AGAUGCUCAUUGGGCGUAAAGCGUGCGCAGGCGGUUUUGUAAGACAGAGGUGAAAUCCCCGGGCUCAACCUGGGAACUGCCUUUGUGACUGCAAGGCUGGAGUGCGGCAGAGGGGGAUGGAAUUCCGCGUGUAGCAGUGAAAUGCGUAGAUAUGCGGAGGAACACCGAUGGCGAAGGCAAUCCCCUGGGCCUGCACUGACGCUCAUGCACGAAAGCGUGAGGAGCAAACA
rnacentral:rRNA from 1 species